rnacentral:rRNA from 1 species
GACGAACGCUGGCGGCGUGCUUAACACAUGCUAGUCGAACGGAAAGGCCCCCUUGUGGGGUACUCGAGUGGCGAACGGGUGAGUAACACGUGAGUAACCUACCCUUGACUUUGGGAUAACUUCAGGAAACUGGGGCUAAUACCGGAUAGGAGCUCCUGCUGCAUGGUGGGGGUUGGAAAGUUUCGGCGGUUGGGGAUGGACUCGCGGCUUAUCAGCUUGUUGGUGGGGUAGUGGCUCACCAAGGCUUUGACGGGUAGCCGGCCUGAGAGGGUGACCGGCCACAUUGGGACUGAGAUACGGCCCAGACUCCUACGAGAGGCAGCAGUGGGGAAUAUUGCACAAUGGGCGGAAGCCUGAUGCAGCAACGCCGCGUGCGGGAUGACGGCCUUCGGGUUGUAAACCGCUUUCGCCUGUGACGAAGCGUGAGUGACGGUAAUGGGUAAAGAAGCACCGGCUAACUACGUG